CGAUACAGGGUGACAGCCCCGUACACAAAAGCGCAUGUGCUGUGAGCUCGAUGAGUAGGGCGGGACACGUGGUAUCCUGUCUGAAUAUGGGGGGACCAUCCUCCAAGGCUAAAUACUCCUGACUGACCGAUAGUGAACCAGUACCGUGAGGGAAAGGCGAAAAGAACCCCGGCGAGGGGAGUGAAAAAGAACCUGAAACCGUGUACGUACAAGCAGUGGGAGCACAGGUUUACCUGUGUGACUGCGUACCUUUUGUAUAAUGGGUCAGCGACUUAUAUUCUGUAGCAAGGUUAACCGAAUAGGGGAGCCGGAGGGAAACCGAGUCUUAAUUGGGCGUUAAGUUGCAGGGUAUAGACCCGAAACCCGGUGAUCUAGCCAUGGGCAGGUUGAAGGUUGGGUAACACUAACUGGAGGACCGAACCGACUAAUGUUGAAAAAUUAGCGGAUGACCUGUGGCUGGGGGUGAAAGGCCAAUCAAACCGGGAGAUAGCUGGUUCUCCCCGAAAGCUAUUUAGGUAGCGCCUCGUGAAUUCAUCUCCGGGGGUAGAGCACUGUUUCGGCUAGGGGGCCAUCCCGGCUUACCAACCCGAUGCAAACUGCGAAUACCGGAGAAUGUUAUCACGGGAGACACACGGCGGGUGCUAACGUCCGUCGUGAAGAGGGAAACAACCCAGACCGCCAGCUAAGGUCCCAAAGUCAUGGUUAAGUGGGAAACGAUGUGGGAAGGCCCAGACAGCCAGGAUGUUGGCUUAGAAGCAGCCAUCAUUUAAAGAAAGCGUAAUAGCUCACUGGUCGAGUCGGCCUGCGCGGAAGAUGUAACGGGGCUAAACCAUGCACCGAAGCUGCGGCAGCGACGCUUAUGCGUUGUUGGGUAGGGGAGCGUUCUGUAAGCCUGUGAAGGUGGCCUGUGAGGGUUGCUGGAGGUAUCAGAAGUGCGAAUGCUGACAUAAGUAACGAUAAAGCGGGUGAAAAGCCCGCUCGCCGGAAGACCAAGGGUUCCUGUCCAACGUUAAUCGGGGCAGGGUGAGUCGACCCCUAAGGCGAGGCCGAAAGGCGUAGUCGAUGGGAAACGGGUUAAUAUUCCCGUACUUGGUGUUACUGCGAAGGGGGGACGGAGAAGGCUAUGUUGGCCGGGCGACGGUUGUCCCGGUUUAAGCGUGUAGGUGUGUGUUCCAGGUAAAUCCGGUUCACUUUAACACUGAGGCGUGAUGACGAGGCACUACGGUGCUGAAGUAACAAAUGCCCUGCUUCCAGGAAAAGCCUCUAAGCAUCAGGUAACAUCAAAUCGUACCCCAAACCGACACAGGUGGUCAGGUAGAGAAUACCAAGGCGCUUGAGAGAACUCGGGUGAAGGAACUAGGCAAAAUGGUGCCGUAACUUCGGGAGAAGGCACGCUGACAC
rnacentral:rRNA from 1 species